AAGACAACAUCAGCACAUCGUCCCAACAUAGUUGGAGAACAUCAUUUGGUGAAUGUAAUAAAAGCUUAAGCACCACUGCAACAAGUGACUACUUUCAAUGAAAAAUUAAAUGAGAUAAGGUGUAAUGCUGAUUUAGAGGGUGUUUGGAACCAGCUUAUAAGCCAUAAUUUUAAGAUGAACUGUUUGUUUAAGGUAAGCCAAAAAAAAAAAA
rnacentral:misc_RNA from 1 species